AUGCUUCGAAUGAAAAGAGCAUCAUUUGCCAGACUUGUCGAGACCUUCAGGAGCAGGGGGCUGCUACAAGAUAACAUCAACACCAGUGUGGAAGAGCAAGUGGCCAUGUUCCUCCAUGUUGUUGGCUAUAACCAGAGGUUCAGGGUCAUUCACAACACGUUCAGGAGAUCAAUGGAGGCCAUCUCUAGGUACUUCAAGCAGGUGCUUUUUGCUAUUGGGGAGCUUAGAGGAGAGAUGAUUAGGAGACCAUCUGGCCAGACUCCACCCAAUAUUCACGGAAGCCCAAGAUGGUAUCCAUACUUCAAGUUGAGCACUAACACAUGC
rnacentral:rRNA from 1 species